GAUGAACGCUGGCGGCGUGCCUAAUACAUGCAAGUAGAACGCUGAAGGAAGGAGCUUGCUCUUUCCGGAUGAGUUGCGAACGGGUGAGUAACGCGUAGGUAACCUGCCUGGUAGCGGGGGAUAACUAUUGGAAACGAUAGCUAAUACCGCAUAACAGUAGAUGUUGCAUGAUAUCUACUUAAAAGGUGCAAUUGCACCACUACCAGAUGGACCUGCGUUGUAUUAGCUAGUUGGUGAGGUAACGGCUCACCAAGGCGACGAUACAUAGCCGACCUGAGAGGGUGAUCGGCCACACUGGGACUGAGACACGGCCCAGACUCCUACGGGAGGCAGCAGUAGGGAAUCUUCGGCAAUGGACGGAAGUCUGACCGAGCAACGCCGCGGGAGUGAAGAAGGUUGUCGGAUCGUAAAGCUCGGUUGUAAGAGAAGAACGAGUGUGAGAGUGGAAAGUUCACACUGUGACGGUAUCUUACCAGAAAGGGACGGCUAACUACGUG
rnacentral:rRNA from 1 species